UGGGGAAUAUUGGACAAUGGGCGAAAGCCUGAUCCAGCCAUGCCGCGUGUGUGAAGACGGUCUUCGGAUUGUAAAGCACUUUAAGUUGGGAGGAAGGGCAGUAAGCGAAUACCUUGCUGUUUUGACGUUACCGACAGAAUAAGCACCGGCUAACUCUGUGCCAGCAGCCGCGGUAAUACAGAGGGUGCGAGCGUUAAUCGGAUUUACUGGGCGUAAAGCGUGCGUAGGCGGCUAAUUGAGUCGGAUGUGAAAUCCCCGAGCUUAACUUGGGAAUUGCAUUCGAUACUGGUUAGCUAGAGUGUGGGGUAGGAUGGUAGAAUUCCAGGUGUAGCGGUGAAAUGCGUAGAGAUCUGGAGGAAUACCGAUGGCGAAGGCAGCCAUCUGGCCUAACACUGACGCUGAGGUACGAAAGCAUGGGGAGCAAACAGG
rnacentral:rRNA from 1 species